UACGAAGGGGGCUAGCGUUGUUCGGAAUUACUGGGCGUAAAGGGCGCGUAGGCGGUGUGUCAAGUCAGGCGUGAAAGCCCCGGGCUCAACCUGGGAACAGCGCUUGAGACUGGCACGCUCGAGUUCGGGAGAGGAUGGUGGAAUUCCCAGUGUAGAGGUGAAAUUCGUAGAUAUUGGGAAGAACACCGAUGGCGAAGGCAGCCAUCUGGACCGACACUGGACGCUGAGGCGCGAAAAGCGUGGGGAGCAAACAGGG
rnacentral:rRNA from 1 species